UUUGCCCACAGCUACGUGCACCUUUACCCCCUUUUUGCCAGCCCUAUCAUUUCUGCGAAUGGCAGACACUGCCUCUUCUUACUUGAUCUAUCCUGGCUCUGCUUGCUCAAUGGGAUUACAGGGAUGUACUGCUGUGCCUGGCUCUCUACAGUGAUUUCCAAAGAAAGGAACACAUGAGACAGGAGGCUCCACCUACGAGCUCACUCAGACAGAUGGAGACACCCACAGCCACACAGUGAAUGGAGCUUGGGGACUCUUAUGGA